rnacentral:rRNA from 1 species
CCUACGGGUGGCAGCAGUGGGGAAUAUUGGGCAAUGGGCGCAAGCCUGACCCAGCAACGCCGCGUGAAGGAAGAAGGCUCUCGGGUUGUAAACUUCUUUUGUCAGGGACGAAACAAAUGACGGUACCUGACGAAUAAGCCACGGCUAACUAUGUGCCAGCAGCAGCGGUAAUCCGGAGGUGGCAAGCGUUCUUCGGAUUUAAUGGGUGUAAAGGGGGUGUAGGCGGGAGAGCAAGUCAGAUGUGAAAUUCCAGGGCUCAACUCUGGAACUGCAUUUGAAACUGUUGUUCUUGAGUGAAGGUGAGGCAGGCGGAAUUCAGUGUGUAGCGGUGAAAUGCGUAGAGAUACGGAGGAACACCAGUGGCGAAGGCGGCCUGCUGGACAUUAACUGACGCUGAGGCGCGAAAGCGUGGGGAGCAAACAGGAUUAGAUACCCUUGUAGUC